rnacentral:rRNA from 1 species
GUCCCGUUCCGAACCCGGAAGUGAAACGCUGCCGCGCCAAUGGUAGUCGGACGACAGGUCCCGCAAGAGUAGGUCGCCGCCGGGA